rnacentral:rRNA from 1 species
CUAAGAAUCUUCCGCAAUGGGCGAAAGCCUGACGGAGCGACGCCGCGUGGGUGAUGAAGGCCUAACGGUUGUAAAGCCCUUUUCUGCGUGAGGAAUAAGGCAAGGAGGGAAUGCCUUGCUGAUGACGGUAGCGCAGGAAUAAGCCCCGGCCAAUUACGUGCCAGCAGCCGCGGUAACACGUAUGGGGCGAGCGUUGUUCGGAAUCAUUGGGCGUAAAGGGCGCGCAGGCGGCCAUGUAAGUCUGGUGUGAAAGACCGCAGCUUAACUGCGGGCACGCGCUGGAAACUAUGUGGCUUGAGUUCUGGAGGGGAAGCUGGAAUUCCAGGUGUAGGGGUGAAAUCUGUAGAUAUCUGGAAGAACAUCGGCGGCGAAGGCGAGCUUCUGGCCAUGAACUGACGCUGAGGCGCGAAAGCGUGGGGAGCGAACA